rnacentral:rRNA from 1 species
UGAGGAAUAUUGGUCAAUGGACGCAAGUCUGAACCAGCCAUGCCGCGUGAAGGAUGAAGGCCUUCUGGGUUGUAAACUUCUUUUAUGUGGGAAGAAACCUCUGAUUUCUAUUAGAGUUGACGGUACCAUAGGAAUAAGCACCGGCUAACUCCGUGCCAGCAGCCGCGGUAAUACGGAGGGUGCAAGCGUUAUCCGGAUUUACUGGGUUUAAAGGGUGUGUAGGCGGGCUAUUAAGUCAGUGGUGAAAUCUCCGAGCUUAACUUGGAAACUGCCAUUGNUACUAUUAGUCUUGAAUUUUGUUGAGGUAGGCGGAAUAAGUCAUGUAGCGGUGAAAUGCAUAGAUAUGACUUAGAACACCAAUUGCGAAGGCAGCUUGCUAAACAAACAUUGACGCUGAGGCACGAAAGCGUGGGGAUCAAACA